UGGGGAAUAUUGGACAAUGGGCGCAAGCCUGAUCCAGCCAUGCCGCGUGAGUGAUGAAGGCCUUAGGGUUGUAAAGCUCUUUCGUCCGGGACGAUAAUGACGGUACCGGAAGAAGAAGCCCCGGCUAACUUCGUGCCAGCAGCCGCGGUAAUACGAAGGGGGCUAGCGUUGUUCGGAAUCACUGGGCGUAAAGGGCGCGUAGGCGGCUUUGUAAGUCGGGGGUGAAAGCCUGUGGCUCAACCACAGAAUUGCCUUCGAUACUGCAUGGCUUGAGACCGGAAGAGGUAAGUGGAACUGCGAGUGUAGAGGUGAAAUUCGUAGAUAUUCGCAAGAACACCAGUGGCGAAGGCGGCUUACUGGUCCGGUUCUGACGCUGAGGCGCGAAAGCGUGGGAGCAAACAGGAUUAGAUACCCUGGUAGUCCACGCCGUAAACGAUGAAUGCCAGCCGUUGGCGAGCUUGCUCGUCAGUGGCGCAGCUAACGCUUUAAGC
rnacentral:rRNA from 1 species